rnacentral:pre_miRNA from 1 species
UGCCUGGUUUCAGAGAGGUGUAAUUUUUGUUGUAUAGUACCCUUUUUUGGAACCAAGCCCU